rnacentral:rRNA from 1 species
GACGAACGCUGGCGGCGUGCCUAAUACAUGCAAGUAGAACGCUGAAGCGAGGAGCUUGCUCUUCUUGGAUGAGUUGCGAACGGGUGAGUAACGCGUAGGUAACCUGCCUUGUAGCGGGGGAUAACUAUUGGAAACGAUAGCUAAUACCGCAUAACAAUGGAUGCCACAUGUCAUUUAUUUGAAAGGGGCAAUUGCUCCACUACAAGAUGGACCUGCGUUGUAUUAGCUAGUAGGUGAGGUAACGGCUCACCUAGGCGACGAUACAUAGCCGACCUGAGAGGGUGGACGGCCCACCUGGGACUGAGACAAGGCCCAGACUCCUACGGGAAGCAACAGUAGGGGAUCUUCGGCAAUGGGGGCAACGCUGACCGGGCAACGGCGCGGGAGGGAAGAAGGGUUUCGGAUCGUAAAGCUCUGUUGUAAGUCAAGAACGAGUGUGAGAGUGGAAAGUUCACACUGUGACGGUAGCUUACCAGAAAGGGACGGCUAACUACGUG